AGCUAUGCUUUGCUAAUCUAAAUAGGUCUCUGAAGACCUUGGGACAUUAGCUCUCAUUGUGGCAAGGCUCCUUUUUGCCGGCAGUGAUGAAAACCAUGCAGCAGCUCCACGAAGGAGAUUAUCUUGCCUGCCAUCUUUAGUACCUUUGUUCCACUAGCAUCCUGCUCUAGCAACAAGGGAUUUUCGAUUCAUGUUGGCAGCUGGAUGGAUGUCAGCUCUUGGUUAACUAAGCCAACUCUUCUGCAAACCAAUUCAUGGAAAGGCAGAUAAAUGUAUUACGAUGGUGAGGAUUAAUGGCUUCUCGUCAUUGAAGUUUAGAAAAUUAACCAUUUCUAUCUAGAAAUGAAUGAACUGGAAUAUUUUGGUGAGAGCCUGGAAAUAAGCUUUGAUCAAGUAGAAGGAAAAGUUGUAUUGACUAAAGAAGACAUAAAAGGAAGUGAACAUGGAUAAACAUCACACUGGGUAUAGUCUAUAAAACUAAGCU